UACGAAGGGGGCUAGCGUUGCUCGGAAUCACUGGGCGUAAAGCGCACGUAGGCGGGUCGUUUAAGUCGGGGGUGAAAUCCUGGAGCUCAACUCCAGAACUGCCUUCGAUACUGGCGAUCUUGAGUCUGGGAGAGGUGAGUGGAACUCCGAGUGUAGAGGUGAAAUUCGUAGAUAUUCGGAAGAACACCAGUGGCGAAGGCGGCUCACUGGCCCGGUACUGACGCUGAUGUGCGAAAGCGUGGGGAGCAAACAGG
rnacentral:rRNA from 1 species